AAAGGGCGGAGCGGGCGCGGCGCUGAGGGAGGAGGCGGCGGCGCUGAGGGGAGCGAGGGGCGGAAUGCCGGGCACGAAAAGGAGGUUGUGGGACAGCUGAGGGUCGGUAUCUGCUGCCAGGCAGCCAGUGAUAGGAGAACGGGGUAUGGUCUCAAGCUGCGCCAUGGGAGGCUCAGGCAACCUUUGGGCCCUGGCAGGGGCUCUCAGGUGUCCCUGCAGCCUUCUCUUGUGCAGGGGAGCAGCCCCAGCUGUGCCAGGCUGGCUCCAGAGCAGAGGGCUCCAGCCCCUAGAGCAUCAUCAUCCUCCAGAUUCAGUGUGAUCAGUCCCAGGAGCAUCACGCCUGCAGCCUGGACACACCAGCUCUGCAAGUGAGGAGCACCCUCAGCUGCCUUGGAGAGUUGGAUGCUAAACACAGAGCCAAGCUCCAGGACACUGCCCCACUCAUCCUUUCCCAGCCUAAAUUCCUUGUUUAGGACCCAGCUGUUCUUUUCCAAACAAUGCUUAAAUA